CCACUUUAUUGAUGCUAUAACUUUGCACCUAUCGAUUGUCUUUAGUUGACGAUUAUCUUUUGACGAACUGAAUUGGUCAUAUAGAACUGGUUACUAGAUGGAAUUGAUACGAUCAACUUCCUAAUUUGUAAGGUCAGGUUGGGGUUUACUAAAGGGCGCGUACAAUUUCAAUUAUGUGGAGAAAUUUUCUAGAAUUUGUCAAGUUCUCCUGGUAGGUCCGCUGGAAAUUCUAUGAAGUGGCAGUUACAGGUGAUAUCGUGGAAACGCUUGAAAUGGAUGUUUGUUCACAUGAAGAGUUAUUUCUCCUGUCAUUUUUCCUGCUACUGUUGCAUUAGAUUCAUAAGCUUUAGUGUAUGUGGUGAAAACUGCUAAGUCAUAUUUGAAGCAUCAUGUAUCUAGCAAAGCAUGGAGGAAGGGCGCCUUCAAGUCUAUAAACAACCAAGGAAGAGACACAAAUUAAAUUAUUUUGGUCCAGGGUAAGAUAUAGCAGAUUUUGACAUUUUGCAAUACUUUUGAAGGUAUUCUACCUCUAAGGUUGUUAUGAUCAAGAUUUAACUCGGUUAAAAGGUUCGAAUUUGCAAUGGAAUAAGGUAUAGUUCCCGUGACUAUGUUCUGUCAACUGUGACAAGAUUAAACAUCUUAGCUUAUAAAGCUUCCCAAUAGUUGGUGGAAUGAUACAUGUGAGUUGGUUUCUGCCCAGCCUAAGUUCUUCCAGGUAUAGAUAAUUAGUUUGACGAUCCCUCAUAGUAGACGAGAUUGGCGUUCAGUGAAGGAUCGGUAAGACUCCACCUCAUUCGGAGUGCAGUCGAGUAUAGUGUUAGAGUUUUGCUACAUACUUAUGGAUAGGUCGGUAACCUGUCACAUUUUAUGUCAAAUAAUCUUAGAGGCUUUAUAGACAGAUGUUCAUUUUGUACAGUAUGUCAGAGGACUUGACGGCCCAUAUGUAUUCAUGUUUUAUGAAAAAUGGUUCAAUAAUACAUUGUUUUCUCACUUACAGUUGUA